UACGUAGGGUGCGAGCGUUGUCCGGAAUUAUUGGGCGUAAAGGGCUCGUAGGCGGUUUGUCACGUCGGGAGUGAAAACUCAGGGCUUAACCCUGAGCCUGCUUCCGAUACGGGCAGACUAGAGGUAUGCAGGGGAGAAUGGAAUUUCUGGUGUAGCGGUGAAAUGCGCAGAUAUCAGGAGGAACACCAGUGGCGAAGGCGGUUCUCUGGGCAUUACCUGACGCUGAGGAGCGAAAGUGUGGGGAGCGAACAGG
rnacentral:rRNA from 1 species